GCGUCUAUAGCCUAGUUGGUAAAGGCAGUACUCUAGUACAGCAUAGCUAAGGUUGUGAGUUUGACUCUCACCAGACACA
rnacentral:tRNA from 1 species